rnacentral:guide_RNA from 1 species
CAAAUAUGAGUUCGAAUAAGUGAUAUAAUGGUAUAAUAUAAGAUUU